rnacentral:rRNA from 1 species
GAUGAACGCUAGCGGCGGGCUUAAUACAUGCAAGUCGAGGGGUGGUAGCAAUACUACACCGGCGCAUGGGUGCGUAACGCGUAUGCAAUCUACCUUUAUCUGGGGGAUAGCCCGGGGAAACCCGGAUUAAUACCGCAUAACAAAUUUCUUGGCAUCAAGAGAUUUUAAAAGAUUUAUCGGAUAGAGAUGAGCAUGCGUAAGAUUAGAUAUUUGGCGAGGUAACGGCUCACCAAGCCUACGAUCUUUAGGGGCUCUGAGAGGAGAAUCCCCCACACUGGCACUGAGAGGCGGGCCAGACUCCUACGGGAGGCAGCAGUAGGGAAUAUUGGGCAAUGGGCGCAAGCCUGACCCAGCCACGCCGCGUGCAGGAAGAAGGCCCUCUGGGUUGUAAACUGCUUUUGACCGGGAAGAAAAGAACCUUUGCGAAGGGAGUUGACGGUACCGGCAGAAUAAGCCACGGCUAACUACGUGCCAGCCGCCGCCGUAAGAC